UCGGAUUGUAGUCUGCAACCCGACUACAUGAAGCUGGAAUCGCUAGUAAUCGCGGAUCAGAAUGCCGCGGUGAAUACGUUCCCGGGUCUUGUACACACCGCCCGUCACACCAUGGGAGUCGGAAAUGCCCGAAGUCUGUGACCUAACCGCAAGGGAGGAGCAGCCGAAGGCAGGUCGGAUGACUGGGGUGAAGUCGUAACAAGGUAUC
rnacentral:rRNA from 1 species